ACAUCAAAAAGAUCGAACAUCAUUACCUAUUUUAACAUAACUGCAUUAACAAAAUAGGGAAAACACAUGCAUGGAUGCAGGCACACACACACAUACCCCUCACACAAACAAUCAAAAUCUCCAUUUUUAAGGGGUGUGAUGUAGGUGUUUUGAACUGGGGAAGGGGGGAAAUAUAAUACAAAAGACGCAAGAAGAAGAAACUACCUCAUGCUCGAUGAUUGGGGAGCCACAUGCACGACAACAAAAGCAUUCCGAAUGGAAAAAUGUCCCCAUGCAUCCCAAAUAGUUGCCAUAGCCCAUGUCCCAGUUGCAGCCACCACAUACUCUGCAAGUUAGCGGCAUACAUAUACAAGAUCAAUCAAUUCAAGGCUUACAAACUUAUAAGUUUGACAAUACCAUGUGUUCUUUUAGUGUUCUGAUGUGACAUUGGAUGUUUAAGGGCUGGAACUUACUGAUUUAUAUAACUCAUGUUAUUUUUUUCUCAUUCUAGUUAUAGACUUAUUUAAUCCUUGCAAUAUUCUAUCUUUAAGACAUUAUUUUGAUAUUUGAAAAACAAUCUAUGCGAGCUAUAUGCGAGAAAAAUUAACUUGGUAUUCAAAAGUUUUAAAUUAGAAGUGAGCAAAGCUAUCAUGCCUGUAGGAAUCUUCUUUCUUCAAGCCAUUGUUUUGCAGGCAUCACUUUGUCAUUAGCAUCUUUCCAUUCAUUAGCUACAACUACUGCCACCCUGUUUGCAGUUACUUUCGCACGAGCCAACUCUCUAUCAAGAGUUUUUCUUUCCUCCUGUGAAAUUAAGAACCAAAUUUUAGUGUUGAGUAUUAUCAGUUACACAGACAGUGCAAUCGUGAAGAAUGUGUUUAGGAAAAGUCGAUAGCUAUUUAUAUUUAUAUAU
rnacentral:lncRNA from 1 species